rnacentral:rRNA from 1 species
UACGUAGGGGGCAAGCGUUGUCCGGAUUUAUUGGGCGUAAAGAGCGUGUAGGCGGCCAGAUAGGUCUGUUGUGAAAACUCGAGGCUCAACCUCGAGACGCCGAUGGAAACCAUCUGGCUAGAGUCCGGAAGAGGAGAGUGGAAUUCCUGGUGUAGCGGUGGAAUGCGCAGAUAUCAGGAAGAACACCCGUGGCGAAGGCGGCUCUCUGGGACGGUACUGACGCUGAGACGCGAAAGCGUGGGGAGCGAACAGG